rnacentral:rRNA from 1 species
GACGAACGCUGGCGGCGUGCUUAACACAUGCAAGUCGAACGGUGAAGCGCCUUCCUUUUUGGUGGGUGUGGAUGAGUGGCGAACGGGUGAGUAACACGUGAGUAACCUGCCCCCUUCUUCUGGAUAACCGCAUGAAAGUGUGGCUAAUACGGGAUAUUCUGGGUCUGUCGCAUGAUGGGUCUGGGAAAGAUAUUGUUUCGGUGGGGGAUGGGCUCGCGGCCUAUCAGCUUGUUGGUGGGGUGAUGGCCUACCAAGGCGGUGACGGGUAGCCGGCCUGAGAGGGUGGACGGUCACACUGGGACUGAGACACGGCCCAGACUCCUACGGGAGGCAGCAGUGGGGAAUAUUGCACAAUGGGCGAAAGCCUGAUGCAGCGACGCCGCGGGAGGGAUGGAGGCCUUCGGGUUGUGAACCUCUUUCGCCAGUGAAGCAGGCCUGCCUCGUUUGUGGGUGGGUUGACGGUAGCUGGAUAAGAAGCGCCGGCUAACUACGUG